GAUGAAGAACGCAGCGAAAUGCGAUAAGUAGUGUGAAUUUCAGAAUUCAGUGAAUCAUCGAAUCUUUGAACGCACAUUGCGCCCCUUGGUAUCCCGAGGGGCAUGCCUGUUCGAGCGUCAUUUCACCACUCAAGCCUGGCUUGGUGUUGGGCGACGUCCUCUUUGGGGACGCGCCUCGAAACGCUCGGCGGCGUGGCACCGGCUUUAAGCGUAGCAGAAUCUUUCGCUUUGGAAGUCGGGGCCCCGUCUGCCGGAAGACCUGCUCGCAAGGUUGACCUCGGAUCAGGCAGGGAUACCCGCUGAACUUAAGCAUAUCAAUAAGCGGAGGA
rnacentral:misc_RNA from 1 species